rnacentral:rRNA from 1 species
UACGUAGGGUGCAAGCGUUGUCCGGAAUUAUUGGGCGUAAAGAGCUCGUAGGCGGUUUGUCGCGUCUGCUGUGAAAACUCGGGGCUUAACCCCGGGCCUGCAGUGGGUACGGGCAGACUAGAGUGCGGUAGGGGAGACUGGAAUUCCUGGUGUAGCGGUGAAAUGCGCAGAUAUCAGGAGGAACACCGGUGGCGAAGGCGGUUCUCUGGGCAUGUCCUGACGCUGAGGAG